rnacentral:rRNA from 1 species
AACGGGAAAGGGGUCUUUAAAUCAGUUAUGGUUCCUUAGAUCGUACCCACAAUUACUUGGAUAACUGUGGUAAUUCUAGAGCUAAUACAUGCAAAUAGAGCUCCGACCGGAGACGGAAGGAGUGCUUUUAUUAGAUCAAAACCAAUCGGUGGCGGGUUUAAUCGCUCGUCAUCGUCCAACUUGGUGACUCUGAAUAACUUUACGCUGAUCGCACGGUCUCGCACCGGCGACGCAUCUUUCAAAUGUCUGCCUUAUCAACUGUCGAUGGUAGGUUCUGCGCCUACCAUGGUUGUAACGGGUAACGGGGAAUCAGGGUUCGAUUCCGGAGAGGGAGCCUGAGAAACGGCUACCACAUCCAAGGAAGGCAGCAGGCGCGCAAAUUACCCACUCCCGGCACGGGGAGGUAGUGACGAAAAAUAACGAUACGGGACUCAUCCGAGGCCCCGUAAUCGGAAUGAGUACACUCUAAACCCUUUAACGAGGAUCAAUUGGAGGGCAAGUCUGGUGCCAGCAGCCGCGGUAAUUCCAGCUCCAAUAGCGUAUAUUAAAGUUGUUGCGGUUAAAAAGCUCGUAGUCGAAUUUGUGUGUCGCGCCGCCGGUUCAUCGUCCGCGGUGUUAACUGGCGCAGCGCGACACGUCCUGCCGGUGGAUUUAGCUCGCGCGUUCGCGCGCGUGGGCGGUCCAACUCAAUCCCGUCGCGGUGCUCUUCAUUGAGUGUCGAGAUGGGCCGGCACGUUUACUUA